GAAUGAUAUUAAACCUUCCCAAGAUGGAACGUUUCCCCAAAAGUGUGUUGGAAUUCGUGAGGUUGCAAACAGAAAAAAGGCAGAAGAAUUUGAAGUAUUUGCAGCGAGAAUUUUGCCUAGCGCAAAACCACAAAAUAAAAAGCCGGUGAUGUCAUAAUCCCGCACGACACUUUUUCGACCAUGCCCGUGAAGUCACUUUUUUGUUCAAAUAUCCACAAACUAGCAGCAACGACCAGCGGGGAAAAAAUGAACUUCUCCAACACACGAAUUGCCUCUCCUGAUCUCAAUGCCCACUUUGUUUGAAUCGCCGUUCGGGCAUGAUGUCACCUGAGCGGUUCUUCUGUGUGAGCUUGGCUGCCCUCACUGUCCUGCGGGCUGUGUUUUUUCAAGCUUCAAACCUUAAACUAAUCCUCUUCUAUGCAACUGCUUCGGAAUGAUUUCUAUUGUUAAUUCAUGAAAAUCACUCAAAUUUACACCAAACCUGGAAAGGUUAUUCCACUAUAAAUGGUUCCUAUAAUAUUGCCGUUG